GUCAGGCAGUAGGAUCGGGGGGGUAGGUAGCAGGGGCCAGGCUGCAGGGGCCUCACCUCUCGGGGUACGUUAGGCUGUAGGAUCGGGGGGGUAGGUAGUGGGGGCCGGGCUGCAGGGGCCUCACCUCUCGGGGUACGUUAGGCUGUAGGAUCGGGGGGGUAGGUAGCGGGGGCCAGGCUGUGGGGGCCUCACCUCUCGGGGUACGUCAGGCUGUAAGAUUGGGGGGGCCAGUAGUGGGGGCUGGGCUGCAGGGGGGAAGUGUCUCGCCUCUCGAGGUACGUCAGGCUGUAGGAUCAGGGAGAUAGGUAGCAGGGGCCAGGCUGCAGGGGUCUCACCU